AACUUGCAACAAUGUGUCUCUUGGCUCUCGCAUCGAUUAAGAACGCAGCGAAAUGCGAUAAGUAAUGUGAAUUGCAGAAUUCAGUGAAUCAUCGAAUCUUUGAACGCACCUUGCGCCCUUUGGCCAUUCCGAAGGGCAUGCCUGUUUGAGUAUCAUGAACACCUCAACUCUUCAUGGUUUUUCUGUGAUGAGCUUGGACUUUGGGGGUUUUGCUGGCCUAUGGUCGGCUCCUCUAAAAUGAAUCAGCUUGCCAGUGUUUGGUGGGCAUCACAGGUGUGAUAAAUAUCUACGCUUGUGGUUUUCCACCAGGUAACCUUCAGCAAUGGAGGUUCGCUGGAGCUCACAGAUGUCUCUCCUCGGUGAGGACGACCCUUUGAAUGUUUGAUCUCAAAUCAGGUAGGACUACCCGCUGAACUUAAGCAUAUCAAUAAGCGGAGGCU
rnacentral:misc_RNA from 1 species